rnacentral:rRNA from 1 species
UACGUAGGGUGCGAGCGUUGUCCGGAAUUAUUGGGCGUAAAGAGCUUGUAGGCGGUUUGUCGCGUCUGCUGUGAAAAUCCGGGGCUCAACCCCGGACUUGCAGUGGGUACGGGCAGACUAGAGUGUGGUAGGGGAGACUGGAAUUCCUGGUGUAGCGGUGAAAUGCGCAGAUAUCAGGAGGAACACCGGUGGCGAAGGCGGGUCUCUGGGCCGUAACUGACGCUGAGGAGCGAAAGCGUGGGGAGCGAACAGG